GCUUGUCUCAAAGAUUAAGCCAUGCAUGUCUUAGUGUAAAUAACUCUUAUGAAACUGCGAACGGCUCAUUAUAUCAGUUAUAGUUUAUUUGAUAGUCCCUUACUACUUGGAUAACCGUAGUAAUUCUAGAGCUAAUACAUGCGUCAAUACCCUUCUGGGGUAGUAUUUAUUAGAUUGAAACCAACCGCUUCGGCGUGAUGUGGUGAUUCAUAAUAAAUUUGCGAAUCGCAUGGCUUUACGCCGGCGAUGGAUCAUUCAAGUUUCUGCCCUAUCAGCUUUGGAUGGUAGGGUAUUGGCCUACCAUGGCUUUAACGGGUAACGGAGAAUUAGGGUUCGAUUCCGGAGAGGGAGCCUGAGAAAUGGCUACCACAUCCAAGGAAGGCAGCAGG
rnacentral:rRNA from 1 species